rnacentral:rRNA from 1 species
UACGUAGGCAGCGAGCGUUGUUCGGAGUUACUGGGCGUAAAGAGUGCGUAGGCGGUUUUCUAAGUUUGGUGUGAAAUCUCCCGGCUCAACUGGGAGGGUGCGCCGAAGACUGGAAGGCUUGAGUAUGGGAGAGGUAAGCGGAAUUCCUGGUGUAGCGGUGAAAUGCGCAGAUAUCAGGAGGAACACCGAUGGCGAAGGCAGGUCUCUGGGCUGACACUGACGCUCAUGCACGAAAGCGUGGGGAGCAAACAGG